GACGAACGCUGGCGGCGUGCUUAACACAUGCAAGUCGAACGAUGAAGCCGGAGCUUGCUCUGGUGAAUUAGUGGCGAACGGGUGAGUAACACGUGAGUAACCUGCCCUUGACUCUGGGAUAACUGCUAGAAAUGGUAGCUAAUACCGGAUACGACCCUCGGAGGCAUCUCCAGGGGGUGGAAAGAAUUUCGGUCAAGGAUGGACUCGCGGCCUAUCAGCUAGUUGGUGAGGUAACGGCUCACCAAGGCGACGACGGGUAGCCGGCCUGAGAGGGGGACCGGCCACACUGGGACUGAGACACGGCCCAGACUCCUACGGGAGGCAGCAGUGGGGAAUAUUGAACAAUGGGCGCAAGCCUGAUGCAGCAACGCCGCGUGAGGGAUGACGGCCAUCGGGUUGUAAACCUCUUUUAGUAGGGAAGAAGCGAAAGUGACGGUACCUGCAGAAAAAGCACCGGCUAACUACGUGCCAGCCGCCGCCGUAA
rnacentral:rRNA from 1 species